rnacentral:rRNA from 1 species
UACGGGGGGAGCAAGCGUUGUUCGGAUUUACUGGGCGUAAAGCGUGCGCAGGCGGUUCGUCGUGUCCGAUGUGAAAGCCCCGGGCUCAACCUGGGAAUGGCAUUGGAAACUGGCGGACUCGAGUGUGGCAGAGGGGGGUGGAAUUCCGCGUGUAGCAGUGAAAUGCGUAGAGAUGCGGAGGAACACCGAUGGCGAAGGCAGCCCCCUGGGUUAACACUGACGCUCAGGCACGAAAGCGUGGGGAGCAAACAGG